rnacentral:rRNA from 1 species
UACGGAGGGGGCUAGCGUUGUUCGGAAUUACUGGGCGUAAAGCGCGCGUAGGCGGACCUGCAAGUCGGGGGUGAAAGCCCGAGGCUCAACCUCGGAACUGCCUUCGAUACUGCGGGUCUCGAGUCCGGGAGAGGUGAGUGGAAUUCCUAGUGUAGAGGUGAAAUUCGUAGAUAUUAGGAAGAACACCAGUGGCGAAGGCGGCUCACUGGCCCGGUACUGACGCUCAGGUGCGACAGCGUGGGGAGCGAACCGG